AUUUUAUUUAGAAAUUUACCAGUAGCUGCUGCAUUUCCCACCCUAGUCUUAUACUCGAGUCAAUAAGUUUUCCCAGUUUUUUGGGGUAAAAUUAGGGGCCUCGGCUUAUAUUCGGGUCGGCUUAUACUCGAGUAUAUACGGUAUAUUUUUUUGCAAUCAAUGAAUUUUGUCUAUACCAUAUUAUAAUGAAUUAUUAAAUGAAGCAAUGAACUAUAUCUAAAGCUCUUUUUGAGUGCAGUAUCAUUUUUUGGUAUAAAGGUUUCUACCUGUGUUACCUGUGUUACUCUUGGAGACUGACCGGUCUAAGGUUUGCCAUGCCUUAUAACAUGGUAUAGUAUAAAUUUUUUAAGUCUCUGAGAGUUCUGAAAGAUUCGGGUGAAACAAUGUCUGUGUAAUCAGGUCCAGAUGUUUGCUCAAUUUCUAUAAGAUUUAAGUUGAUGCAGCAUCAUCUCAGAUUAGUUAAUGGGAGUUUCAGACAAAUAUUUGAGUUAUGAGCGCGCUAUAUAAAUGGAUCCUUUCUUUAUAUACAAUACUGUAGUAGAUUAAAGUAAUAACGUUAAUUAAGAAAAAACAUGUAUGCAUAAGAAUUCCUAAAAUAAAU